rnacentral:rRNA from 1 species
GAUGAACGCUGGCGGCGUGCUUAACACAUGCAAGUCGAACGGAGUUUCUUGGAUAGAGGUUUCGGCCAAUUGAAUUGAAACUUAGUGGCGGACUGGUGAGUAACGCGUGAGGAACCUGCCUUUCAGAGGGGGACAACAGUUGGAAACGACUGCUAAUACCGCAUAAUGUUAUUUGGGGGCAUCCUUGGAUAACCAAAGAUUUAUUGCUGAAAGAUGGUCUCGCGUCUGAUUAGCUAGAUGGCGGGGUAACGGCCCACCAUGGCGACGAUCAGUAGCCGGUCUGAGAGGAUGAACGGCCACAUUGGGACUGAGAUACGGGCCCAGACUCCUACGGGAGGCAGCAGUGGGGAAUAUUGGGCAAUGGGGGAAAGCCUGAUGCAGCGACGCCGCGUGGAAGGAUGAAGUAUUUCGGUA